UACGGGGGGGGUAAGCGUUGUUCGGAAUUACUGGGCGUAAAGGGCUCGUAGGCGGCCAACUAAGUCGGACGUGAAAUCCCUCAGCUUAACUGGGGAACUGCGUCCGAUACUGGAUGGCUUGGAUUUGGGAGAGGGAUGCGGAGUUCCAGGUGUAGCGGUGAAAUGCGUAGAUAUCUGGAGGAACACCGGUGGCGAAGGCGGCAUCCUGGACCAACAUUGACGCUGAGGAGCGAAAGCUAGGGGAGCAAACGGG
rnacentral:rRNA from 1 species